rnacentral:rRNA from 1 species
UACGAAGGGGCUAGCGUUGUUCGGAAUUACUGGGCGUAAAGGGCGCGUAGGCGGCGUGUCAAGUCAGGCGUGAAAGCCCCGGGCUCAACCUGGGAACCGCGCUUGAGACUGGCAUGCUCGAGUCCGGAAGAGGCGAGUGGAAUUCCUGGUGUAGCGGUGAAAGUGCGCAGAGUAGUCAGGAGGAACAAGCCAAUGGCGGAAGGCAGCUCGCUGGGGACGGU